GAAAGGCGAAAAGAACCCCGGGAGGGGAGUGAAAUAGAUCCUGAAACCGCAUGCAUACAAACAGUCGGAGCCUCGUAAGGGGUGACGGCGUACCUUUUGUAUAAUGGGUCAGCGACUUAUUGUCAGUAGCAAGGUUAAGCGAAUAGCGGAGCCGUAGGGAAACCGAGUCUUAAUAGGGCGUUUAGUUGCUGGCAAUAGACCCGAAACCCGGCGAUCUAUCCAUGAGCAGGUUGAAGAUCAGGUAACACUGAUUGGAGGACCGAACCGACUGUCGUUGAAAAGCCAGCGGAUGACUUGUGGAUCGGAGUGAAAGGCUAAUCAAGCCGGGAGAUAGCUGGUUCUCCUCGAAAUCUAUUUAGGUAGAGCGUCAUAUCUCACCCACGGGGGUAGAGCACUGUUUGGGCUAGGGGGCCAUCCCGGCUUACCAACCCCAUGCAAACUCCGAAUACCGUGGAGUGCAAUUAUGGCAGACACACUGCGGGUGCUAACGUCCGUAGUGAAAAGGGAAACAACCCAGACCGUCAGCCAAGG
rnacentral:rRNA from 1 species